rnacentral:misc_RNA from 1 species
AACACCUCAAAUCUCUACUUUAUUGUAAAGAAUUGGACUUGAGCAAUCCCAACUUUCGUAAGAGAGGCGGGGUGCUUGAAAUGCAGGUGCAGCUAGACAUUCUUCUGAGCUAAAAGCAUAUUUAUUUAGUCCCGUCAAACGGAUUAUUACUUUUGCUCUAGCUAAUAUAAAGGUCGAAUGCGCUACAAUGCUGACUGAUGCAGGAUUCACAAAGCCUUUCUGGUUUUGUAA